ACAUCGAGUGUCGAAUAUGUGGGGACAAGGCCUCAGGAUACCACUAUGGAGUCCACGCAUGUGAAGGCUGCAAGGUAUGGAGGCCUCGGGAGAAGGGUGAGGUAACCACAUGGCUCCAUACCUUUGUUCCUCCACAAGAUGGCUGUCAGAAAGAGCAGAGAACUGGCUUCGGUGGCAAAUUGACUCCUCUUUUGAAAAUCUAGGGCAGGUUGUUUGCUGUACUUUGUAAAUAUUUGAGAGGGGCAUGUCCUUUAAAACAAAACGAACAA
rnacentral:lncRNA from 1 species